GACGAACGCUGGCGGCGUGCUUAACACAUGCAAGUCGAACGGAGUGGCGAACGGGUGCGUAACAAGUGGGUGACCUGCCAUGCACUUCGGGAGAAGCCUGGGAAACUGGGUCUAAUAACGGAUAGUGUGGGAUGGGCCCGCGGCCUAUCAGCUUGUUGGUGGGGUAAAGGCCUACCAAGGCGGCGACGGGUAGCCGGCCUGAGAGGAUGGACGGCCACAUUGGGACUGAGACACGGCGCAGAGUCGUACGGGAGGCAGCAGGGGGGAGUAUGGCACAAUGAGCGGCAGCCUGAUGCAGCGACGCCGCGUGGGUGAUGACGGCCUUCGGGUUGGAAACUCCUUUCGCCGUCGACGCGGUAGAUGGAGAAGAAGCACCGGCUAACUACGUGCCAGCAGCCGCGGUAAUAC
rnacentral:rRNA from 1 species